rnacentral:tRNA from 1 species
CGGGGCGUAGCGCAGCCCGGUAGCGCACUUGACUGGGGGUCAAGGGGUCGCUGGUUCGAAUCCAGUCGUCCCGA